rnacentral:lncRNA from 1 species
UGGAAAUGACGCUGGGGGAGGUAAACCCCUGUCCGUUCGUGCGACCCCAGAGGCUAUAGUGUUCGCGGUCUUGUUUUUCUGGAAGUGGGCCUCCGCGAUCUCGGGAACCAACACCCCGAAUCCGGCGCCCAAGCAGGGAGGCCAGCUGCUUUAGGCGGCUCCAGAAAGGCCAGGCUUCGGAGCCUCUAACCUGAUGAAGGUGGGACUUCGGCAAAGUCGAGAAACCUAAGUCUGGGAAGAGUUGGUAUACCCAUGGCCCACGUUCUUGCUCAGAAGAAGCAGACUGCAAAAUUCUGGAGGUGACAAAGGGAAGAUGAAGGCACAUAAACACCUGCUCCUCCCCUCCAGACCCCAAAGCAAUUUCGGCGAGUUUUGGAAGGGAAUGAAGGUGACAACUGUGCUAGGACUCAUCUGGCCUGGGAGCAGAUGGCGCAGGCCUGGAUGUCGCUACCGGAGAAGGUCCAUCGGGAAGCAGCCUGGCCUCGCGGGCGGUAAUAAGUCACUGUUUAUGGGUGUGGUUGUGAGGGAGGGACACAUGCGGGGAGAGAUUCAGGUUCUCGAGCGACUGGUGCUGAGGAGGUCGCCUGCUCUGGAUAAUAGUACCUUGUGGAAAACCGUUACCCGGAAGGCAGAAGUGUUGUGACUGUGGUGAGUGCACUGUUUGAUGAUUCUGGGCAUCAGGUGGACAAUGUGGAGGAGAGAGAAUUUCCAGGCAGCAGGAUUAUAAACAAAUUCACGCUGAGAAAUAGCCUGGUGACCUUAGCUAAAGUACAUAGUAAGAGCAGACGAGAUUCCUGGAGGAGCAGCAGCUAUUAUGCAUCAUAAUGAUGAAAGCCACAGAAUAAAGAGCAAGAAGGUAGAAGGAGCCUGAGAACUUCAUGACAUUCUUGGACAGUGGUGCCAACCUUGGAUGAUUUACCUCAGGAUUUUUGGUUAAAUAACAUAUAUUAACUCCUUUCUGUUUAACCCACUGGAGUUGAAUUUUCUGUUGCAGUGAGUACCAUCCUAACUGAUUAUCCUGGCUAAUAUGUAUUAGCACCUAUCAUGGGCCAGUGUAGUUCUAAGCACUUUAUGUACUAACUUUUUAAAUCCUCACAACGACCUUAUGAGAUAGGCCUAAGGUUCUCAAAGUGAGCCAGCAGCAUUAGCAUCACCUGGAACUUUGUUAGGAAUACAGAUUUAGGGUCCGGCUCCACACCUCCUGAAUCAGAAACUCUGGGAGUGGGGGCCCAGUAAUCUGUUUUAAGAAACCCUGCAGGCGAUUCUGAUACAUGCUAAAGUUUGACAGCUUUAUCUGUAGGUGAGGUAUUGUUGCUAUCCCUAUUUUACAUGUAAGGUAGACUGAGCUGAGUCUUGAGUCGCUUGCCCAAUGUUACACAACUAGUAAGACUAACUCCUAAAGCUGUCUGUAAAGUCAUGCCACAUGUUAAGAACGCCUACUCUAGAGCAGCAGUCUUCAAAAUUUGAAAGCGUACUCCUUUGAAAAAUUAUGUACCCCCUUGCACAUUUUUAGAUCGAUAUCUAAAAAUUUCACAUAAGUUCAAACAGUUGUAAAGAAUUAUUUCCAGUACAUUGUAAAUUGUGACAUUUUAAAAUGUGUUCAUCACUCUUCUAAAUGAAUCUAAAUACCAUAGUGAUUAUUUUGUAAAUGGACCGUCCAUUUAAAAAAGUAAAUUUUCUUUAACAUUUGAAAUUUUAUGUCCUUCUCUUGAACUCGUAUUUUCAUUCCCCUACCAACAAAAAUACAUCCUAUUGUAACACGCCUGUUUUGAUCUACCCUGUUGUUCUUCUCUGCAGCAAAAAGUACGAACAUUGAACUUAAUUUUUAAAAAAUUUCCAGUGAUCAUAUAGCUUUAAGAGUUAUAAGUAUACAAUCAAAUAAUUGUGACUGUAUUAUAUAUUUUGAUAAGUUAGUAGACAUACAAACUAAAAUCGAAUUGGAAAUCCAUCUCUUAAUGAGAUGGAUGGGACUUAAGAUUUUCCAAUUGAUUCAUGUAUCCAUGGAUGAAUGUUCCUUGUUGCAAGAAUGAGACAAGUUCAACAUCAAUUUUAUGUCUGUUUUUCAUUAUAGAUAUGAGAGAUUAUAUUCACAUAAAAAAGAGGAAUUAGGGCCAGCUCCACUGGUGCUCUGCUUUGGCGGCCUGGGUUUGGUUCCUAGGGACAGACCUACACUGCUCUGUUAGGAGCCAUGCUGUGCUGGUGGCCCACAUACUAAAAAAUAGAAGAAGAUUGGCAUGGAUGUUAGCACAGGGCAAAUCUUCCUCAGAAAAAAAAAAGAAAAGAAAAAUAAAGGAGUUUUGAAAUAGGAAUGCAAUUCUAAUUUUUCUAACUCCUGUAUUAACGCCAAAAUCACAUUAUAUAUCAUUAAAAAAAAGUUUUGUUAAUCUAUUACUGACAACUGGGUUAGAACCUCUUUCACUUUUGUGUAAAGCAAAUGUAAUAAACAGAAGCCACCUGGGUUGCAUAAGAUUUUGUUACCCAGUCAUUUAAGCCAUUCACUUUAUCACUGACAUCUUAUUUUAGGGUCCUGUUGUCAGAUGCUUCAAGGAGGUUUUGCAUCUUGGGGCAAGAUGAACGAUAAGAUAUGGGAUGGUUGAGAGUUAUCUCCUUUUUCCUUAAUGAGAAAAGAGUUGUGACAAAAGAGGAGGUGGGAAAGCAGAAAGUUUACUGGCAGAUCAGCCACAAGUGAGUCCCUGUGGAAGUGCAAGAUCAGGAAAUGGAUUCCCUUGAAACUGUCUGUAUUCUCAGGGAUACGCAUACCCCAGUUUGAAAACUAAAGGAUACUAAGAGAUAGCUCUUAGAAUCACCACUGUCAUGUCCUAUGUCAACUUAAACAAACAGAUUACCUUAGUUUCAGUUUCUCACUCAGGAAGUAGGUAUAAGAAUGUGGAACUAAGCUGCAAAUCCCAAAUUGUUGGUGCUCGCAGUGUCAAUAUACGUGCCUGAGAGACAUGUAUUUGAUGCCUUGGGUCAUCUUUAACCUUUUCUUCACGUAUUUUCAGAUAAAUACUCAAUUAUCCUGGAUACUUCCUAAAUUCAGUAGAAAACUUGUCCUGGUAGCAAUAGUCACAGCCAAGUUCUCGAGUUUCGAAAGAUGAACCUCUAUGCUGCUUUGGGACUAUUUGGCCGCAAUCCCAGAAUGGUGUUUCUGUGUACACAGCACUGGGGAAGUGAAGUUAGAAUCACAGGUAUUGAGCCUGUUUCUUCUCUGCCUUCACAUCCUCCUGUAGCAUUUUCUGUGUCUGGACUAAGUUGCUUUCCUUCUCUCAUCCAUAACUAUACUGAUCCAUUUCUCUUUUUCUUUUUUUCUUGUGGAAAGAACACUUAACAUGAGAUGUAUCCUCUUAACAAAUGUUUAAAUGUACAAUACUUUAUUGUUGACUGGAGGUACAAUGUUGGACAACAGAUCUCUAGAACUUCUUCUUCUUCUUUUUUUUUUUGAGGAAGAUUAGCCCUGAGCUAACAUCUGCCACCAAUCCUCCUCUUUUCUGCUGAGGAAGGCUGGCCCUGAGCUAACAUCCGUGCCCAUCUUCCUCUGCUUUAUAUGUGGGAUGCCUAGCACAGCAUGGCUUGCCACUUGGUGCCAUGUCUGCACCUGGGAUCUGAACCAGUGAACCCAGGGCUGCCAAAGCAGAACGUGCGCACUUAACCGCUGCGCCACCAGGCCAGCCCCCUAUUCAUCUUCUUUGACUAAAACUAUCCCUAUUGAUUAAUAACUCCCCAUUUCCCCCUCCCCCAACCCCUGACAACCACCAUUUCAUUCUUUAAUUCUAUGAAUUUGACUAUAUUAGAUAUCUCAAAUAAGUGGAAUCAUGCAAUAUUUGUCCUUCUGUAACUGGCUUAUUUCACUUAGCAUAAUAUCCUCAAAGUUCAUUCAUAUAGUCGAAUAUUGCAGAAUUUCAUAUUUUAAAGGAUGAAUAAUAUUACAUUGUAUGUAUAUACUACAUUUUCUUUAUCCAGUUGAUGAACUAUAGGCUGUAUCUACAUCUUGGCUAUUGUAAUGGUGUUGUAAUGAACGUGGGAAUGCUGUCUCUACCAGAUCCUGAUUUCAUUUCUUUUGGGAAAAUCUCUACAAGUGGAAUUGCUAGAAUACAGUAGUUCUAUUUUUAAUUUUUUGAGGACCCUCCAUACUGUUUUCCAUAGCAGUUGCACCAUGUCAUUCCUGCCAACAGGGUGCGAGGGUUCCAUUUCUCCACACCUCACCAUCACUUGUGGGGUUUUUUGGGUAAUAGCCCUCCUAACAGGUAUGAGGUGACAUCUUGUUGUGGUUUUGAUUUGCAUUCCCCUGAUGGUUAGUGAUAUUGAGUAUCUUUUCAUACACCUGUGUACCAUUUAUAUGUCUUCCUUGGAGAAAUAUUUAUUCAAUUCUUUAGCCUAUUUUCUUCUCUUUUUGCUGAGGAAGAUUUGCCCUGAGCUAACAACAUCUGUUGCCAAUCUUCCUCUAUUUUGUGUCUGAGCUGCUGCCACAGCAUGACCACUGACAGAUGAGUGGUACAGGUUUCCACCUGGGAACUGAACCUGGGCCACCAAAGUAGGAUAUGCCAAACUUAACCAGUAGGCCACUGGGGUUGGCAUUUUAGCCCACUUUUUAAUGGGGCUAUUAGAUUUUUUGUUUUUUGCUGUUGAGUUGUAGGAGUUGCCUUAUAUAUUUUGAGAAUUAACCCCUUAUCAGAUAUACGCUUUGCAAAUAUUUUCUCUCGUUCCAUGGGUUGCCUUUUCAUUCUGUUGUUUCCUUUACCGUGCUUUUUCAUUUGAUGUAGUCACACUUGUCUGUUUUUGCUAUUGUUGCCUGUGCUUUCGGUGUCACAUCCAUGAAAUCAUUGCCAAGACCAAUAUCAUCAGGCUUUCUUCCUGUGUUUUCUUCUAGCGGUUUUACACUUUCAGAUCUUACAUUUGAGUCUUUAGUAUAUUUUGAUUGUUUUUAAUGUAUGAUGUAAGAUAAGGGUCCAAUUUUAUUCUUUUACAUGUGGAUAUCCAGUUUUCCCAUCACCAGUUAUUGAAGUGAUUAUUCUUUCUCCAUUGUGUAUUCUUGGCAUCCUUGUGGAAGACCAGUUGACCGUAGAUGUGUGGGUUUAUUUCUGGGUUCUCCACUCUGUUUCAUCGGUCUGUAUGUUUUUAUGCCAGUACUAUACUCGUUUGAUUACUGUAGCUCUGUAAUAUAUUUUGAAAUCAGGAAGGGUGAUGCCCCUGGCUUUGUUCUUUUUCAAGAUUGAUUGACUAUUUGGAGUCCUUUGUGCUGCCAUAAGAAUUUUAGAAUAUUUUUUUCUAUUUCUGUAAAAGAUGCCAUUGGGAUUUUGAUAGGGAUUACAUUGAAUCUGUAGAUUUCUUUGGUGUGGACAUUUUAACAGUGUUAAGACUUCUACUCAAUGAAAACAGAAAGUCUUUCUCUUUGUGACUUCUUUAAUUUGUUUAACCAGUGUUUUAUAGUUUUUAUUGUACAAGUGUUUUAUCUCCUUAGUUAAAUUUAUUCCUAAGUAUUUUAUUCUUUUGUGUGUGUGUGUGUGUGAAAAAGACUGGCCCUGAGCUGACAUCUGUGGUCAGUCUUCCUCUUUUUGCUUGAGGGAUAGUGGCCCUGAGCUAACAUCUGUGCCAGUCCUCCUCUAUUUUGUAUGUGUGAUGCCACCACAGCAUGGGUUUGGUGGGUGGUGUGUGGGUCUGGGCCUGGGAUCCAAACCUAUGAACCCUGGGCCACCGAAGAGGAGCGUGAGCUUAACCCCUACACCACUGGGCCAGCCCCAUUUUAUUCUUUUUUGUACUGUUGUAAAUGGGAUUGUUCUCCAAAUUUCCUUUUUGGAUAGUUCAUUGCUAGUUUAUAGAGGCACAACUGAUUUUUGUUGGCUGAUUUUUUUAUCCUGCAAUUUUACUGAAUUCAUUUAUCAGUUCUAAUAGUUUUUUUAUGGAGUCUUAAGUUUUCUCUGUGUAAGUCAUGUCAUCACAUCUGUAAACAGGAACAAUUUUACCUUUUUUUUUUUUUCUGGUUUGAAUGCCUUUCUUUUCUUUUUCUUGCCUGAGUCCUCUGACUGGGACUUCCAGUACUAUGUUGAAUAGAAGUGGAGAGAAUGGGCAUCCUUGCCUUGUUCCUGAUCUUAAAGGAAAAGCUUCCAAUUAUUCACCAUUGAGAAUGGUGUUAGCUGUGGGCUCACAUGUGGUCUUUAUUAUGUUCAGGUACAUUCCUUCUAUACCUUGUUUGUUGAGAGUUUUUAUCCUGAAAACUCUCAAAUGCUUUUUCUACACCUAUUAAGAUGAUCAUGUGAUUUUUUUUUUUGAAGAUUGACGCCUGAGCUAACAUCUGUUGCCAAUAUUCUUCUUUUGUAUUUUUUCUUUUUUGUCUCCCCAAAGCGCCCCCAGUACAUGGUUGUAUAUUCUGGUCAUAGGUCCUUCUGGCUAUGCUGUGUGGGACACUGCCUCAGCAUGGCCUGACGAGCAGUACCAUGUCUGCGCCCAGGAUCCAAACUGGCGAAACUGUGGGCCACCGAAGAGGAGUGUGCAAACUUAACCACUUGGCCAUGGGGCCGGCCCCAUGAUCAUGUGAUUUUUAUCAUUUAUUCUAUUAAUAUGGUGUAUUAAAUUAAUUGAACAGUCGUUGAGAGUUAUUGAUGAUGAUGUAUAUCCUUGUACCCCUGGGAUAAAUCCUGCUUGGUCAUAGUAUAUUAUGCUUUUAAUAUGCUGUAGGAUUCAAUUUGCUAGCAUUUUGUUGAGGAUUUUUGCAUAUAUUUUCAUCAAGGAUAUUGGCCUAUAGUUUUAUUUUGGUGUCUUUGUGUGGCUUUGGUAUCAGGCCUUAUAAAAUGGCCUUAUAAAAUGAGUUUGGGAGUGUUCUGUCCUCUUCAGUUUUUUGGAAGGGUAUGCAAGGGAUUGGUGUUAAUUCUUUAUGGCUUACCAAGCAGUGCCAUGUCUGCACCUAGGAUCUGAACUGGUGAACCCCGGGCCGCUGAAGUGGAACGUGUGCACCUAACCACUGCGCCACCAGGCCAGCCCCAUCUUUUUAUUGACAAUAGAAAAUAGAAGACAAUGUGUAGGGCUGUUACCGAACUACAGUGGGUCCGCUUCUUAUGAGUUGAAAUCAAAGCCUUCACCAGAAGUACUGGUCACACAAAGUAAUAUUUAUUUGCAGCAAAUAGAAACCAUUGGGAAUCAUUUCCAAAGCCAAGCAAGGGAAAGCAGGGGCCAUUUAGGUCAGAUGAGGAAUGAAUAUUCAAAAGAGGGAGGUGGAUAUUCGCUUGUGCAGGGUCAGUUGGAAAACAUGCUUCCACAUACUUCACAUGUUAUGGUAAUAAGGCCUAAGCUCCUCCUGGGGCAGAGAUCUUAACAUUGAAAUGAAGCAAAGGUCAUCUCUUGAGCAUUUCUCAGCCUGUCUGGGCAGGCAUAGCUCUUGUGGUGGAGUUUGACCUGUUCAGAGAGGUUGGUGAUUGCAUCUCUUAACAUAACUAAAAAAACAAUUUGGAGAAACGGUUAAGUGCUUCUGAAACCUCCUUUGAGUUGCUUGGGGCAAUUCGUUGGUGAAAGGACCUGUUGCAUAAUUUGUGAGGCCCAGUGCAAAAUGAAAAUGUGAACCUCUAGUUCAAAAUUUAUUAACAACAUGGAGACAAUGACAGGAGAGCAUUACACCAAGUGGAAGUCUCUUCUGAUGGCAGGACCCUGUGCAACUGCCCAAGUCGCAUGCCCAGGAAGUCAGCUGGGACAAUGUGUUGUAGGGUAAUAGUAAAAAUUUAUGUGGGCAACUCACACUUUAGUCUCUGGGUCCUGUUAAACUCUUUGAAACAUAGAGAUUGUCCUCCCCAGAAUCAUCAGUAUCAUUAAUUUCUUAGGAGCCUUCUGCCUUUGCAAAUCCCCGUGUUUUGGAUCUGUCUGAGUUUUAAAAUCUCAGCCAAGCCAUAUGGAUACCAUCCUAUCAGAAGAGACAAAACUGAGCCUAAAACCAAGCAGAAAGAGUGAGCGCAAUGAAGAGGACUCUCCAUGCAUAACUGGAGAUUUCAGCCACCCACAUUUAUUCCAAGUGCAGUGUCGCAUUUUCUGGAAAGAACUGACUUCUUCCCCUUGUUCUGUUUCUAGAGCCCAGGACCAUGGGUGUGUUUCAUGGCAGAGAAAAGUGAAGAGGAGAAUUGUUUGUGUGUUUGAAGGAGAAACAGAUCAGCAGCCUUUUGUUUUGGCUCCUAAAGUAUGUAGGUGCCUAUUUCCAUUAUCUCUACAAAUAUACCCUUGCUGGUCCUCCUAUUCUGUAGGGGUGUUUCCUUGUCUAUUACAUGCUCCUUCCCUAUCUGUGACAUUUGAGUUUUGAUAAAAAUCCUCUUCUCUCUGGAAGUGUUGUGACUGGUAGUUUUUUCCCACAAUGUCAUUGCAGCAAAUGUUUCUGGUGGGCAUAGUCUCUACGUUUGGUGGAGAGGUCUUCCUCACUCUGGUAUCCGAUCAUCUGAUGUCACCAGAAGACUAACCAUUUGGCCCUACUACAUAUAAAACCAUUGCGGUGAAAAAGGACAGCAUGGGCAUCCUAGAGACGGAAGUUGGACCUCGUGACUGAGGCUUAUGCCCAAGAUUCUAGGGUGAAACAUUGCUUGUUCCAAUGAGACUAUCUAAAGACUAUUUGAUACAAGUGUUGCUGAGAUGAUACAGACUUUUUAGAUAAGUGAGAAAUGAAUGUCUAGAAUAUUUUAAAAGCUACAGAAAGUAGACAGAAACAUUUUCAUUAGGGAUAGUUUAUAAAGGAAGAGAACGGUUUUCUUUAAGGAGCAAGGAAACUGAUAUUUAUUGAGCACUUGCUGUUUACCAGGCACUGUGUAUGUGUGUAUGUGCGUGUAUGUGUAUGUGUCUGCUCACAACGGCUCCGUGGGGUAGUGAUUAUUAGCUCCGUUUUAAUAAUGAAGACAUUGUGGCUCAGAGGGAGUAAGGUGCAAAGCCAGAAUUGCGAGACAAGAUUGUUGGCCUCCCGUGUCCAUGUGUCCACUCACUUUUCCUUUUGAAGGUCUCAGGUAAGGGGUAGCCUCACUGGGAUUUAGGCAGCCUGCCCCAGGGUCCUUGUUCUGAACUACUGUGCUCCACUGCCUUUUAAGAGCAAAUUUAUCUUUUUACCAGGGAGUGAUGACCUUCAGAGGAAUCUUUCUAUCUAGAUAAGCAAAUUCAUAGAAUCCUGAUAGUAAACUGGAAUGUUAAUUGUUCUAAUAUUAUAUUGUUUUGACUUUCUUUAUCAGUAAUACUGAAUAUGGACUGAAGGUCAGAUGACUCCUGUCCCAAGUAAGGGACUCUGAGCACCAGGGAAAAUGAUUCUUUUUAAAGUUUUACUUUAAGUAUUUCAUAAUUUACUUCAUUUUCCCCCAGUUGUACUGGAGGUAUCUUUGGCUUAAAGAUCCCAAGGAUUGAUUGGUUGUUUUUUCACUCUUUAUUUCUGAAUUUACUUUUUUCCCUUUUUAAUUAUAGAAGUAUUUUCAAGGAUUACUGUCAAAACACAUAAAAAUAUAUGGCUAAGAAAAAAAUAUAUGUAUAUUGCCACAUUCCAAAGAUAAACAUACUUUAUGUGUUAGAAGAAACACAAUUUAUGGGCCUGGCCCACUGGCCAGGUGGUUGAGGUGACAUGCUCCACUUCCGCAGCCCAGGGUUUUGCCAGUUUGGAUCCUGGGCGCAGACCUAGCACCACUCAUCAAGCCACGCUGAGGUGGUGUACCACAUGCCACAACUAGAAGGACCCACAACUAAAAUAUACAACUAUGUAGUGGGGGGCUUUGGGGAAAAGAAGGAAAAAUAAAAAUAAAAAAAGAAAAUUUAUGUGUUACAAAACACAUUUUAUGUGUGUUAAGCACAUUUUGUUGUGUGUCUACUUCUGGACAUUUAUAUACAUAUACUGUAUCUGUACAUUUUUAAAAGGGAUUAUCAUCUUUUAAAAACUUUCUUGUAACGUGUUUUUUACUUAAUGCUAUUUCUUAAGCAUCUUUACUGAAAGAUAAUAGAUAGCUAAUUAUUAACUCUGAAGAGCAAGGGUCAAUAAAUAUUUGUUGAAUGAAUGUAUAAUUUCCCUUUAUCACCAGCUGCUUCCAAGCCCCUACUUCAGGUGUCUGGGAAUACCACAUGGCUUUAGGCCAAAAGCGUUUUGUCCCUCAUUAGGGCAAAAAAAAUUAAGGAUGUCUUUUCUCCUCCUCCCUCUAGUUCCAAUAAACCUACACUUUGUUCCCUUUCCCUCCUUUAGAGGUGCGAUGGAAAAGAAGUUUUCAGAUUCAGCUCCUUCCUGGAUGGGUAAACUUGUUUUAAAAUGUCACACUUUUGUGCAGUAAGAAAACUCAUAAGUGCUAUUUGUAAGCUAAGUACUGAUAAAAUAGAAAUCUCCUACAUAUAUUAAGUGAAGAAAAGAGCUGCAGAAUAAUGGUUAAAUAUUUUCCAUUUUAUGUAAAAGUUAGAUAAAAUAAACAUGGACAAAGAAAACAGCUCAGUGGUUACCAGGGGAAGGGGGUUGAGGGGUGGGCACAGGGGGUGAAGGGGAGCACUUGUGUGGUGACAAACAAGAAAUAAUGUACAACUGAAAUCUCACAAUGGUGUAAACUAUUAUGAUCUCAAUAAAAAAGUUAGAUAAAAUAAGACUAUGUUCAUGUUUGCAAGUAUCAUAAAAAAAAAGUCAGGAGGGAUGCAUAAGAAGCUAAAGCAAAGGUGUUGGUGAGAACUGGGGAGAUG